UUUCCGUAGGUGAACCUGCGGAAGGAUCAUUCAUAAUAAAGAGUUUUAUGGCACUUUUUAAAAAUCCAUAUCCACCUUGUGUGCAAUGUUAGAUCUCGUCAAUCUUGGCGAGAUUUUUAUACAUCAACUCAUUCUUUAACUAAUUUGUCUGAAAAAUAUUAUGAAUACUUAAUUCAAAAUACAACUUUCAACAACGGAUCUCUUGGCUCUC
rnacentral:misc_RNA from 1 species